AAUUCUCAGUUUUUCCAAAUUCCAAAUUAAGAAACAAAAUAAAAGCCGGACUUUUGGCUACAUUUGUCCAAAAUAAAAAACUCGUUAGAUAAAGAAGAAUAACAGAAAUUCGCUGGAAUUAUGGACCAUCGUUAACAAAUAGAUGUCAAUUUGUUUUUGGAGCAAGGUCCGAGGAUGUAGAGAUCCUUGUGUUUGCUCAUACACUUGAAUCGCGAACUCUGAACGUUGGUAUAUCGGAAUCGCUAUAUUAUAUUAGGCAUUGAGGCUGCCAUUAAUUUAUUUUCAUUUUAUGCUUCGACCCUGACAGGUCUGCUGUAUAUUCAACAUGACACAAAAUACCAAAAUGAAGCAUUUUUGAACGGGGUGCAAGGUCCGAGGAUAUCAUAUCCUUGUGUU
rnacentral:sRNA from 1 species